GAUUACAUAUUUCCUAUGAAUUUUUAUUACAAACCUAAGAUACUGAAAGAUACAACUUUGUGUUUUGGGAGGAAACUUAGAAGAUGUGAUGUGAAACCUCUAAAUCCAUGUAGCAAACUGGGGACAUACAUGAGGUCAACUGAUUUGUAAGAAGUGUACUAUUCUUGGAAUGAAAUUCAUAGUCAAUCGCCAAUAAAUUCAUCUUUAUUAGUGCAUUAAUCAAUUAUUCUGGAUGAGGAUACAUGGUGGAAGGCAUUGUCAUCUGCUAGAACUCAUGAAAAGGGCUUGUUAAUGUUUUUCUUCAUUUAAAUAACA